rnacentral:rRNA from 1 species
CCUACGGGAGGCAGCAGUAGGGAAUAUUGCUCAAUGGGGGAAACCCUGAAGCAGCAACGCCGCGUGGAGGAUGAAGGUUUUCGGAUUGUAAACUCCUUUUGUUAGAGAAGAUAAUGACGGUAUCUAACGAAUAAGCACCGGCUAAUUCCGUGCCAGCAGCCGCGGUAAUACGGAGGGCGCAAGCGUUACUCGGAAUCACUGGGCGUAAAGAGCGCGUAGGCGGGUUAGCAAGUCAGAUGUGAAAUCCUAUGGCUUAACCGUAGAACUGCAGUUGAAACUGUCAGUCUAGAGUAUGGGAGAGGUAGGUGGAAUUCUUGGUGUAGGGGUGAAAUGCGUAGAGAUCAAGAGGAAUACUCAUUGCGAAGGCG